UACGGGGGGGGCAAGCGUUGUUCGGAAUUACUGGGCGUAAAGGGCUUGUAGGUGGCCAACUAAGUCAGACGUGAAAUCCCUCGGCUUAACCGGGGAACUGCGUCUGAUACUGGAUGGCUGGAGUGUGGGAGAGGGAUGCGGAAUUCCAGGUGUAGCGGUGAAAUGCGUAGAUAUCUGGAGGAACACCGGUGGCGAGGGCGGCAUCCUGGACCAUUACUGACACUGAAAAGCGAAAGCCAGGGGAGCAAACGGG
rnacentral:rRNA from 1 species